UUGGANAUGGGCGAAGCCUGAUCCAGCCAUGCCGCGUGUGUGAAGAAGGUCUUCGGAUUGUAAAGCACUUUAAGUUGGGAGGAAGGGCAGUAAGUUAAUACCUUGCUGUUUUGACGUUACCAACAGAAUAAGCACCGGCUAACUUCGUGCCAGCAGCCGCGGUAAUACGAAGGGUGCAAGCGUUAAUCGGAAUUACUGGGCGUAAAGCGCGCGUAGGUGGUUCAGCAAGUUGGAGGUGAAAUCCCCGGGCUCAACC
rnacentral:rRNA from 1 species